GAAGAGAGGCUUGCAAACCUCACCUGUGCAGUCGGGGACAGAUCCUGCUUCCCUGACUGGACCCUGCUGCUCCCCGCCCCCAGGGCCACAGCUGCAGCGGAGGGGUGACCGGGAGGGACCGAGGGGCUCCCGUCAGGGGCAGCGUGUCCGUGGGGUGCGCAAUCCCGGUGUGAACACGGCCAGCGGAGGAGGUGCCCAGCUCUGACUCAGUGGCAGUGGAAGAGGCGGAAGCCGUCCCCCUGGGGUUCAGUUAUCAGUGAAAUAAGAUUGGCCGCGAGCCAACGGUCAUCGGAUGGAGGUGAUGAACCCUCGUGCACCCAGCUUGGCACUUGACUCCACCACUUGCUUGACGGGCGUGCUUCUGAGUGUGUUGACCUGGCCGCGUCCAUACCUCCUGCAAGGCGAGGAUGCCGACUCUCACCCGUCUUCCCGUCUCCCCCUGCCCACCUCCCGGUCCUGGGCUCACGUCUGUCUGUACCUGGAUUGGACGCUUCUGGGGACACGGCAGUGAGGAAAGCAGUUUUCUGAAGUUCUGGCCAACACAUUAAGACUGGAAACAGGAGUGCAGCAAUCCCACGUGAGGACAUAUAUCUGAAAGAGACGAACAGAGCGUCCUGAAGAGAUUCCUGCGAGCCAGGGGCCACUGCGGCGUGAGUUAAGGAAACAACCCGAGUGUCCGUCAGCGGAGGAAUGGAUGAAGGCGUGGUGUAUACACACAACAGAAUGUUUUUUUAAGUUUCUUAAAUGUUUAUUUAUUUUCAAGAGAGGGAGA